rnacentral:rRNA from 3 species
UACGUAGGCAGCAAGCGUUGUUCGGAGUUACUGGGCGUAAAGGGUGUGUAGGCGGCUUCGUAAGUUCGGUGUGAAAUCUCCUGGCUUAACUGGGAGGGUGCGCCGAAAACUGCGGAGCUGGAGCGCAGGAGAGGAAAGCAGAAUUCCUGGUGUAGCGGUGAAAUGCGUAGAUAUCAGGAGGAAUACCGGUGGUGAAGGCGGCUUUCUGGACUGCUGCUGACGCUGAUACACGAAAGCGUGGGGAGCAAACAGG